AUACGGAGGGUGCAAGCGUUAAUCGGAAUUACUGGGCGUAAAGGGUACGUAGGCGGUUAAAUAAGUUGGAUGUGAAAGCCCCGGGCUCAACCUGGGAACUGCAUUCAAAACUGUUUGACUAGAGUGUAAGAGAGGUUGGCGGAAUUCCAGGUGUAGCAGUGAAAUGCGUAGAUAUCUGGAGGAACAUCAGUGGCGAAGGCGGCCAACUGGCAUAACACUGACGCUGAGGUACGAAAGCGUGGGGAGCGAACGGGAUUAGAAACCCCGGUAGUCC
rnacentral:rRNA from 1 species